ensembl:snoRNA SNORD24 Small nucleolar RNA SNORD24
UGCAGAUGAUGUGAAAGAAUAUUUGCUAUCUUAACAUCCUUGAUGAUAGUUUUUCCACCAAGAUCGCUGAUGCA